rnacentral:rRNA from 1 species
UACGUAGGUGGCGAGCGUUGUCCGGAUUUACUGGGCGUAAAGGGAGCGUAGGCGGACUUUUAAGUGAGAUGUGAAAUACUCGGGCUCAACUUGGGUGCUGCAUUUCAAACUGGAAGUCUAGAGUGCAGGAGAGGAGAAUGGAAUUCCUAGUGUAGCGGUGAAAUGCGUAGAGAUUAGGAAGAACACCAGUGGCGAAGGCGAUUCUCUGGACUGUAACUGACGCUGAGGCUCGAAAGCGUGGGGAGCAAACAGG